rnacentral:misc_RNA from 1 species
UUCAAGUUACAUCAUGCUUGUGCAGAUUUUGAGGUGGAUAUGAAUGGCAAGCGCUAUUCUUGGCAGGGUAUUGCAAAAUUGCCUUUCAUUGAAGAAGCAAGGCUCCUAACAGAAGUUGCAAAAAUUGAACAUUCUUUGACGGAAGAAGAAUCACGAAGAAACAGUGUGAUGUUUGAUAUGCUUUUUGUGUCGUUAUCCAAUCCUUUGUCUCCAUGCAUUUUUGCUCUUGAUGCACGCUGUAAGCAUCUUACAGUCGG